GUAGCCUAGUGGUUAGAGUGUAGAGGAGGCAGGUAGCCUAGUGGUUAGAGCGUAGCCUAGGUGGCAGGUAGCCUAGUGGUUAGAGUGUAGAGGUGGCAGGGUAGCCUAGUGGUUAGAGUGUAGAGGAGGCAGGGUAGCCUAGUGGUUAGAGUGUAGAGGAGGCAGGGUAGCCUAGUGGUUAGAGUGUAGAGGAGGCAGGGUAGCCUAGUGGUUAGAGUGUAGAGGAGGCAGGUAGCCUAGUGGUUAGAGUGUAGAGGAGGCAGGGUAGCCUAGUGGUUAGAGCGUUGAGGUGGCAGGUAGCCUAGUGGUUAGAGUGUAGAGGAGGCAGGGUAGCCUAGUGGUUAGAGCGUAGAGGUGGCAGGUAGCCUAGUGGUUAGAGGAGGCAGGUAACCUAGUGGUUAGAGUGUAGAGGAGGCAGGGUAGCCUAGUGGUUAGAGCGUAGAGGCGGCAGGGUAGCCUAGUGGUUAGAGGUGGCAGGUAGCCUAGUGGUUAGAGUGUAGAGGAGGCAGGGUAGCCUAGUGGUUAGAGCGUAGAGGAGGCAGGGUAGCCUAGUGGUUAGAGUGUAGAGGUGGCAGGUAGCCUAGUGGUUAGAGUGUAGAGGGGGCAGGUAGCCUAGUGGUUAGAGUGUAGAGGAGGCAGGUAGCCUAGUGGUUAGAGUGUAGAGGUGGCAGGUAGCCUAGUGGUUAGAGCGUAGAGGUGGCAGGUAGCCUAGUGGUUAGAGUGUAGAGGUGGCAGGUAGCCUAGUGGUUAGAGUGUAGAGGAGGCAGGUAGCCUAGUGGUUAGAGCGUAGAGGUGGCAGGUAGCCUAGUGGUUAGAGUGUAGAGGGGGCAGGUAGCCUAGUGGUUAGAGCGUAGAGGUGGCAGGUAGCCUAGUGGUUAGAGUGUAGAGGGGGCAGGUAGCCUAGUGGUUAGAGUGUAGAGGAGGCAGGGUAGCCUAGUGGUUAGAGUGUAGAGGAGGCAGGGUAGCCUAGUGGUUAGAGCGUAGAGGUGGCAGG
ensembl:lncRNA